rnacentral:rRNA from 1 species
AUUGAACGCUGGCGGCAGGCCUAACACAUGCAAGUCGAACGGUAACAGGAAGCAGCUUGCUGCUUUGCUGACGAGUGGCGGACGGGUGAGUAAUGUCUGGGAAACUGCCUGAUGGAGGGGGAUAACUACUGGAAACGGUAGCUAAUACCGCAUAACGUCGCAAGACCAAAGAGGGGGACCUUCGGGCCUCUUGCCAUCGGAUGUGCCCAGAUGGGAUUAGCUAGUAGGUGGGGUAACGGCUCACCUAGGCGACGAUCCCUAGCUGGUCUGAGAGGAUGACCAGCCACACUGGAACUGAGACACGGUCCAGACUCCUACGGGAGGCAGCAGUGGGGAAUAUUGCACAAUGGGCGCAGGCCUGAUGCAGCCAUGCCGCGUGUAUGAAGAAGGCCUUCGGGUUGUAAAGUACUUUCAGCGGGGAGGAAGGGAGUAAAGUUAAUACCUUUGCUCAUUGACGUACCCGCAGAAGAGCACCGCA